rnacentral:rRNA from 1 species
UACGAAGGGUGCGAGCGUUAUUCGGAAUUAUUGGGCGUAAAGGGUUCGUAGGCGGGAUUGUAAGUCAAGUGUGAAAUCCCCGAGCUUAACUCGGGACGUGCAUUUGAAACUGUGAUUCUUGAGUCAUUGAGAGGGCGGUGGAAUUGUUGGUGUAGGAGUGACAUCCGUAGAGAUCAACAGGAACAUCAGAGGCGAAAGCGGCCACCUGGCAAUGUACUGACGCUGAGGAACGAAAGCGUGGGGAGCAAACAGG